UACAGAGGGUGCGAGCGUUUAAUCGGAAUUACUGGGCGUAAAGCGUGCGUAGACGGUUAUGUAAGUCGGAUGUGAAAGCCCCCGGGCUCAACCUGGGAAUUGCAUUCGAGACUGCAUAGCUAGGAUGCGGAAGAGGGAAGCGGAAUUUCCGGUGUAGCGGUGAAAUGCGUAGAUAUCGGAAGGAACACCAGUGGCGAAAGCGGCUUCCUGGUCCAGCAUCGACGUUCAGGCACGAAAGCGUGGGGAGCAAACAGG
rnacentral:rRNA from 1 species